rnacentral:rRNA from 1 species
AAACAUGUUUGUUAGGAGAUGUUAAUAGUCUGACCUGCUCACUGACGUAAAAUGUUUAAGAGCCGCGGUAUUUUGACCGUGCAAAGGUAGCAUAAUCAUUAGUUUUUUAAUUGGAAACUAGUAUGAAUGGUUGGACAAAAGAAAAGCUGUCUCUAUUGUAAAUUUAAAAUUUAACUUUUAAGUGAAAAGGCUUAAAUUACUCAAUGGGACGAUAAGACCCUAUAAAGCUUUACAUAUAAUUUAAAUUUAACUGAAUUAUAAUGAUAAUAGUUUGAUGUGAAUAUUAUGUUUUGUUGGGGCGACAUAUGUAUAAAUAGAAUAACUGCAUAAGUGUAGAACAGUGAUAAAUGAUUUAAAAGUAAAUGAUCCUUUUUAAAGAUUUAAGAUUAAGUUACUUUAGGGAUAACAGCGUUAUUUCUUUUGAGAGUUCUAAUCGAAAAAGAAGUUUGCGACCUCGAUGUUGAAUUAAAAUAUCUUUAUGGUGAAGCCGCUAUAAGAGAAGGUCUGUUCGACCUUUAAAUUUUUACAUGA